rnacentral:rRNA from 1 species
CUACGCACUCCUACGGGAGGCAGCAGUGGGGAAUAUUGCACAAUGGGCGCAAGCCUGAUGCAGCCAUGCCGCGUGUAUGAAGAAGGCCUUCGGGUUGUAAAGUACUUUCAGCAGUGAGGAAGGUGGGUAUAUUAAUAGCAUAUUCAUUUGACGUUAGCUGCAGAAGAAGCACCGGCUAACUCCGUGCCAGCAGCCGCGGUAAUACGGAGGGUGCGAGCGUUAAUCGGAAUUACUGGGCGUAAAGCGCAUGCAGGUGGUUUGUUAAGUCAGAUGUGAAAGCCCGGGGCUCAACCUCGGAAUUGCAUUUGAAACUGGCAAACUAGAGUACUGUAGAGGGGGUAGAAUUUCAGGUGUAGCGGUGAAAUGCGUAGAGAUCUGAAGGAAUACCGGUGGCGAAGGCGGCCCCCUGGACAGAUACUGACACUCAGAUGCGAAAGCGUGGGGAGCAAACAGGAUUAGAUACCCUGGUAG